rnacentral:rRNA from 1 species
GUGACCUGCGGAGGGAUCAUUACAGAGUUGCAAAACUCCUAAACCCUUUGCGAACAUACCCGUAUCGUUGCUUCGGCGGGCAGUCCCCAAGGUGGGGCCGUCUACCUCUCUCCCUGCGGGAGGUGCCUGUCGGAGUCAUCAACAAAUUCUUGUAUCACUGUGGCAUCUCUGAGUAUCAUAUUUAUAAUAAGUCAAAACUUUCAACAACGGAUCUCUUGGUUCUGGCAUCGAUGAAGAACGCAGCGAAAUGCGAUAAGUAAUGUGAAUUGCAGAAUUCAGUGAAUCAUCGAAUCUUUGAACGCACAUUGCGCCUGCCAGUAUUCUGGCGGGCAUGCCUGUUCGAGCGUCAUUUUAACCUUCAAGCUCUGCUUGGUGUUGGGGUCCUACAGGUCUCUGUAGGCCAUGAAAACCAGUGGCGGGCUCACCACAGCUCCGAGCGUAGUACAUGUAUCUCGCUCAGGAAGCCGUGGUUAGCCCUAGCCGUAAAACACCCCAUCCGACUAACGCAAAGUUGACCUCGAAUCAUGCAGGAAUACCCGCUGAACUUAAGCAUAUCAAUAAGCGGAGGAACUUGACCUCCAAUCCGGCGGGACUACCCGCUGAACU